rnacentral:rRNA from 1 species
GCGCGAAACCUCUGCAAUAGGCGAAAGCUUGACAGGGUUACUCUGAGUGAUUUCCGUUAAGGAGAUCUUUUGGCACCUCUAAAAAUGGUGCAGAAUAAGGGGUGGGCAAGUCUGGUGUCAGCCGCCGCGGUAAUACCAGCACCCCGAGUGGUCGGGACGUUUAUUGGGCCUAAAGCAUCCGUAGCCGGUUCUACAAGUCUUCCGUUAAAUCCACCUGCUUAACAGAUGGGCUGCGGAAGAUACUAUAGAGCUAGGAGGCGGGAGAGGCAAGCGGUACUCGAUGGGUAGGGGUAAAAUCCGUUGAUCCAUUGAAGACCACCAGUGGCGAAGGCGGCUUGCCAGAACGCGCUCGACGGUGAGGGAUGAAAGCUGGGGGAGCAAACCGGAUUAGAUACCCGGGUAGUCCCAGCUGUAAACGAUGCAGACUCGGUGAUGAGUUGGCUUAUUGCUAACUCAGUGCCGCAGGGAA